UACGUAGGGAGCAAGCGUUGUCCGGAAUCAUUGGGCGUAAAGCGCGCGUAGGUGGCCCGGUAAGUCCGCUCUGAAAGUCAAAGGCUCAACCUUUGAAAGCGGGUGGAUACUGCCAGGCUAGAGUCCGGAAGAGGCGAGUGGAAUUCCUGGUGUAGCGGUGGAAUGCGCAGAUAUCAGGAGGAACACCGGUGGCGAAGGCGGGUCUCUGGGCCGAUACUGACGCUGAGGAGCGAAAGCGUGGGGAGCGAACAGG
rnacentral:rRNA from 1 species